GAAGGAAGAUAGAAGGAAUAUUUCAGUAGUGCUCUGUUCUAAAAAACGCAAGCCCAACUCAAACGGUUCUCCUCCUCCGCUGCUCCCGCCUCUCUACUCUUUGGGCGUUUGGAUUCCAGAUAACAUGUUGGCCAAAUUUCUCCCGGUUAACUUGGACUUGAAAUCUAUUUCUACUCUUGAUUUGGAUGGUUUUGUCCAGGGACUUUUUAAAGAAUUCACUAGGAUGGAAUUUCAACUAAAUGUGGAAUACCUUAAGCUUUCAUGUUCCCGACAAUUCUAUACCAAAAGUGACAGAUCAUCUUCUGUGUUUGUUUGUUUGCUGUGAUUAUGCCCUAAGUUACGCAAACUCGAUAUCGAUUUAUUUUGGCUCAAUUCAAUGCCUACUGAUUGUGUGGACGCCUUGUUGGAACUUCAUGUUGUGGCUCAAACAAAUAAGAUGCUCCGUGCUUUGAAGUUUAUCUCAUUUACAGGGUCACAUUUCGAAAUGCUUUUCAUUAAGAAGCUACUUUCUAAUUUUUCAACACUUGAAAGGGUUCUCAUUGUUGGUGUAAAA